rnacentral:rRNA from 1 species
UGGGGAAUUUUGGACAAUGGGCGAAAGCCUGAUCCAGCAAUGCCGCGUGUGUGAAGAAGGCCUUCGGGUUGUAAAGCACUUUUGUCCGGAAAGAAAUCCUUGGCUCUAAUACAGUCGGGGGAUGACGGUACCGGAAGAAUAAGCACCGGCUAACUACGUGCCAGCAGCCGCGGUAAUACGUAGGGUGCAAGCGUUAAUCGGAAUUACUGGGCGUAAAGCGUGCGCAGGCGGUUUGCUAAGACCGAUGUGAAAUCCCCGGGCUCAACCUGGGAACUGCAUUGGGUGACUGGCAGGCUAGAGUAUGGCAGAGGGGGGUAGAAUUCCACGUGUAGCAGUGAAAUGCGUAGAGAUGUGGAGGAAUACCGAUGGCGAAGGCAGCCCCCUGGGCCAAUACUGACGCUCAUGCACGAAAGCGUGGGGAGCAAACAGGAUUAGAUACCCUGGUAGUCCACGCCCUAAACGAUGUCAACUAGUUGUUGGGGAUUCAUUUCCUUAGUAACGUAGCUAACGCGUGAAGUUGACCGCCUGGGGAGUACGGUCGCAAGAUU